CACGGGCCUCGCGCAAAGCAUCGUCCAGCACCGCGACGCCAAUGGCCCCUUCCGGUCGCGCAAGGCGCUGAAAGAGGUGCCGCGUCUGGGGCCCAAGGCGUUCGAGCAGUGCGCCGGCUUUCUGCGCAUCACCAACGGCGACGAUCCGCUCGACGCCUCCGGCGUGCAUCCGGAAUCCUAUCCCGUCGUGCGGCGCAUCCUCAGCGCCACCAAGAGCGACAUCAGGGCCCUGAUCGGCAACGCCGAGAUUCUGCGGCAGGGG
rnacentral:misc_RNA from 1 species